UACGAAGGGGGCUAGCGUUGCUCGGAAUCACUGGGCGUAAAGCGCACGUAGGCGGAUUGUUAAGUCGGGGGUGAAAUCCUGGAGCUCAACUCCAGAACUGCCUUCGAUACUGGCGAUCUUGAGUCCGGGAGAGGUGAGUGGAACUCCGAGUGUAGAGGUGAAAUUCGUAGAUAUUCGGAAGAACACCAGUGGCGAAAGGCGGCUCACUGGCCCGGUACUGACGCUGAGGUGCGAAAGCGUGGGGAGCAAACAGG
rnacentral:rRNA from 1 species